rnacentral:rRNA from 1 species
CAGUAGCCGCGGGAAUACGAAGGGUGCAAGCGUUAAUCGGAAUUACUGGGCGUAAAGCGUGCGUAGGCGGUUUGGCAAGUUUGGUGUGAAAUCUUCGGGCUCAACUCGAAGUCUGCAUCGAAAACUGCCGGGCUUGAGUAUGGGAGAGGUGAGUGGAAUUUCCGGUGUAGCGGUGAAAUGCGUAGAUAUGACAUAGAACACCAAUUGCGAAGGCAGCUGGCUACACAACUAUUGACGCUGAGGCACGAAAGCGUGGGGAUCAAACAGGAUUAGAUACCCCAGUAGUCCCUGUCUCUUAUAA